UACGUAGGUGGCAAGCGUUGUCCGGAUUUAUUGGGUUUAAAGGGUGCGUAGGCGGCUUUGUAAGUCAGUGGUGAAAUAUGGCAGCUCAACUGUCAAGGUGCCAUUGAUACUGCAGAGCUUGAGUACAGAUGAGGUAGGCGGAAUUGACGGUGUAGCGGUGAAAUGCUUAGAUAUCGUCAAGAACACCUAUAGCGAAGGCAGCUUACUAGGCUGUAACUGACGCUGAGGCACGAAAGUGUGGGGAGUCAAAACAGG
rnacentral:rRNA from 1 species